rnacentral:rRNA from 1 species
GGUAACCUGCCUGUAAGACUGGGAUAACUCCGGGAAACCGGGGCUAAUACCGGAUGGUUGUUUGAACCGCAUGGUUCAGACAUAAAAGGUGGCUUCGGCUACCACUUACAGAUGGACCCGCGGCGCAUUAGCUAGUUGGUGAGGUAACGGCUCACCAAGGCAACGAUGCGUAGCCGACCUGAGAGGGUGAUCGGCCACACUGGGACUGAGACACGGCCCAGACUCCUACGGGAGGCAGCAGUAGGGAAUCUUCCGCAAUGGACGAAAGUCUGACGGAGCAACGCCGCGUGAGUGAUGAAGGUUUUCGGAUCGUAAAGCUCUGUUGUUAGGGAAGAACAAGUGCCGUUCAAAUAGGGCGGCACCUUGACGGUACCUAACCAGAAAGCCACGGCUAACUACGUGCCAGCAGCCGCGGUAAUACGUAGGUGGCAAGCGUUGUCCGGAAUUAUUGGGCGUAAAGGGCUCGCAGGCGGUUUCUUAAGUCUGAUGUGAAAGCCCCCGGCUCAACCGGGGAGGGUCAUUGGAAACUGGGGAACUUGAGUGCAGAAGAGGAGAGUGGAAUUCCACGUGUAGCGGUGAAAUGCGUAGAGAUGUGGAGGAACACCAGUGGCGAAGGCGACUCUCUGGUCUGUAACUGACGCUGAGGAGCGAAAGCGUGGGGAGCGAACAGGAUUAGAUACCCUGGUAGUCCACGCCGUAAACGAUGAGUGCUAAGUGUUAGGGGGUUUCCGCCCCUUAGUGCUGCAGCUAACGCAUUAAGCACUCCGCCUGGGGAGUACGGUCGCAAGACUGAAACUCAAAGGAAUUGACGGGGGCCCGCACAAGCGGUGGAGCAUGUGGUUUAAUUCGAAGCAACGCGAAGAACCUUACCAGGUCUUGACAUCCUCUGACAAUCCUAGAGAUAGGACGUCCCCUUCGGGGGCAGAGUGACAGGUGGUGCAUGGUUGUCGUCAGCUCGUGUCGUGAGAUGUUGGGUUAAGUCCCGCAACGAGCGCAACCCUUGAUCUUAGUUGCCAGCAUUCAGUUGGGCACUCUAAGGUGACUGCCGGUGACAAACCGGAGGAAGGUGGGGAUGACGUCAAAUCAUCAUGCCCCUUAUGACCUGGGCUACACACGUGCUACAAUGGGCAGAACAAAGGGCAGCGAAACCGCGAGGUUAAGCCAAUCCCACAAAUCUGUUCUCAGUUCGGAUCGCAGUCUGCAACUCGACUGCGUGAAGCUGGAAUCGCUAGUAAUCGCGGAUCGGCAUGCCGCGGUGAAUACGUUCCCGGGCCUUGU